rnacentral:rRNA from 1 species
UCGCCUGUUUAUCAAAAACAUGUCCUUGUGAAGUUGUACAAGGUCUAGCCUGCCCACUGAGUUAUUAAAGGGCCGCGGUAUUCUUGACCGUGCGAAGGUAGCAUAAUCACUAGUCUCUUAAUUGGGGGCUCGUAUGAAUGGUUGGACGAAAAAUAUACUGUCUCAAGUAAAAAGUUUGAAUUUAACUUUUAGGUGAAAAGGCCUAAAUGGGUUAAAAAGACGAUAAGACCCUAUAAAUCUUUACACUUUAUUUUGUAUUUUUAGGGUUAUUGCGUGCUAGGGAUUGUACAGAGGGGGUGUUGUGUUGGGGCAACGACGAUAUAAUAAGAUUAGCUGUUGGUGAGGCUGGACAAAUAUAUUUGUGAGAUUAGAGGAUCCUUUUUAGAGAUUUAAAGAUUAAGUUACUUUAGGGAUAACAGCGUUAUUUUUUCUGAGAGUUCUUAUCGAAGAAAAAGAUUGCGACCUCGAUGUUGAAUUAAAGAUCUUUAUUGAUGUAGCAGUUAAAUAAGAGAGUCUGUUCGAC